CUCUGAGAGAUAAACUGGUGUAUGCUAUAUCUUCUGGAUCUGGUUUUGAACUGAGCUAAUUUUAUUGUUCAUUUUAAUUUGUAAUGCGUGGGUGGUAGGGUAGAUUCGUCACGUGAUCUUUAGAUAGGCACUUUGGUGGGGCUGGCCUCUUGGCCCCUUUGGCUAUAAGCGUCUAGAAAUCAAGUGAAUGUAAGAGUCUAUCACCACACAGUAUCAGUAGGUAAUUCACUGUAUGUGUGGGGUGGUAAACAGCCUGGCUUACCUGAAGUACACGAUAGCAUCAGCAAGAGAAGCUUUACUAGUAAUAUAGAGCACUUUACUCCUUCAACUGGUCAAUGGA